rnacentral:rRNA from 1 species
GACGAACGCUGGCGGCGUGCCUAAUACAUGCAAGUCGAACGCUUCUUUCCUCCCGAGUGCUUGCACUCAAUUGGAAAGAGGAGUGGCGGACGGGUGAGUAACACGUGGGUAACCUACCCAUCAGAGGGGGAUAACACUUGGAAACAGGUGCUAAUACCGCAUAACAGUUUAUGCCGCAUGACAUUAGAGUGAAAGGCGCUUUCGGGUGUCGUUGAUGGAUGGACCCGCGGUGCAUUAGCUAGUUGGUGAGGUAACGGCUCACCAAGGCCACGAUGCAUAGCCGACCUGUGAGGGUGAUCGGCGACACUGGGACUGGGACACCGCCCAGGCUCCUACGGGACGCAGCAGUAGGGAAUCUUCGGCAAUGGACGAAAGUCUGACCGAGCAACGCCGCGUGAGUGAAGAAGGUGUUCGGAUCGUAAAACUCUGUUGUUAGAGAAGAACAAGGACGUUAUUAACUGAACGUCGCCUGACGGUAUCUAACCAGAAAGCCACGGCUAACUACGUG